UACAGAGGUCUCAAGCGUUGUUCGGAUUCAUUGGGCGUAAAGGGCGCGUAGGCUGCGGGGCAAGUCGGGUGUGAAAUCUCAGAGCUCAACUCUGAAACUGCACUCGAUACUGCUUUGCUUGAGGACUGGAGAGGAGAUUGGAAUUCACGGUGUAGCAGUGAAAUGCGCAGAUAUCGGGAGGAACACCGGUGGCGAAGGCGGUUCUCUGGGCCUUACCUGACGCUGAGGAGCGAAAGCGUGGGGAGCGAACAGG
rnacentral:rRNA from 1 species